UAAAAUCUCACUAAGCAUGCUAUGUUUCACAAAGUUUUGAUACAAAGAAUGUAAGACUCAUGCAGAACUUUCAUCAUGUUCAGAUGGUUGAAUAUCCUGCUUCUACUUCAGCUGUGCUGUGUCAAGCAAAGCGAAAGUCCUCUUGACGAAAUCACCAUACAGGGAGAAGAGGGAGGCAGCGUCACCCUGCCAUGUCAAUAUAAGGCCAAUGAGAUUUCUAAUAUUCGUUUCAUCAGA